GAAACAAGGAGCUGCUUCUCACCACAAAGGGUCAGGAGACACUGGGAUGUAAACCUCUGCUUCUCCCUAUGCCUGUGUGGAGUGCUGUGUGUUACUCUGAGUAAACCUUUUGAAAAGAGCCGGCCUGUUGCCACCAUGCUGAAGUUUCUGUAACUGAGAUGCAGCUGUGAAAUGAAUGGCCAAGAUGAAGGCAUUCAAGUGCCUCAAGGGCCACUCUGAAGUAGAAGAGAAAAGUAAACCGUGAAUAACCAGGAAAAAGAGAGAAAAAAAUAACCCAGAUGGAAGAAUACAGCUUGCAGUGAGGAUGUCUCUGUGACACCAGCUGAUGGCUUUGCUUGCUUAGAAAGAGAAGAAAGAACACAAUUAGAAGAAACUACACAACUUCGUAAAGUCAAAGCCUUUCCACCCCUUGUCUUCCCCUCCAAGUCAGUAAGAUUCUGCAUUAGAAAAGCACCACCGUUCACAAACUUACCAAGGGCUAAGAUUUACAGUGUAUGUUUAUUUGUAAUUAUGUCAAUUAUAUUUAUUUAUUUUUCCACAUAUAUUGCUAAGUUUUUCUUUCUAAAGUUCAAAUCACCUUUUUAUUAGUUAAAAGUUCUCUUUACUACCUGCUACUACAGGGAUUAGAAAAAGAAAUUAAAUUUAGGAUAGCAAAUAUCAUCACAGGCAGAGGAAUAUAACCUCCCUGCAAGCUUAAUUAAACUAGAAAAGAUGGUCUGAUAGCAGAUAAUAACACUGUUAACUAGACACCAAAGGUAGGAAUAGGCCUGCAGAAAAGGGCAGACUAUCAUUAUUAAAAUCUUUAUGCAGCAUGCUGACGUCCAGAUCCUGAUAGCACAGGAAAAGGCUUCUUGGGAUCUGACAGGAUAGAAAAUAGUAGAAUAUGUUAGACAAAUGCAUGAGAUGGAG
rnacentral:lncRNA from 1 species